AUUGAACGCUGGCGGCAGGCUUAACACAUGCAAGUCGAACGAGUGGCGGACGGGUGAGUAAUGCUUGGGAAUCUUGCUUAUGGAGGGGGAUAACUACUGGAAACUGUCGCUAAUACCGCGUACCAUAGUAUGAGCCCAUGUGGGAUUAGGUAGUUGGUGAGGUAAAGGCUCACCAAGGCGACGAUCGCUAGCUGGUCUGAGAGGAUGACCAGCCACACUGGGACUGAGACACGGCCCAGACUCCUACGGGAGGCAGCAGUGGGGAAUAUUGCGCAAUGGGGGCAACCUGACGCAGCCAUGCCGCGUGAGUGAUGACGGCCUUCGGGUUGGAAAGCUCUGUUAAUCGGGAGACGGUACCGGAAUAGAAAGCCACGGCUAACUACGUGCCAGCAGCCGCGGUAAUAC
rnacentral:rRNA from 1 species